rnacentral:rRNA from 1 species
AGAGUUUGAUCAUGGCUCAGGACGAACGCUGGCGGCGUGCUUAACACAUGCAAGUCGAACGGAAAGGCCCUUCGGGGUACUCGAGUGGCGAACGGGUGAGUAACACGUGGGUGAUCUGCCCUGCACUUUGGGAUAAGCCUGGGAAACUGGGUCUAAUACCGGAUAGGACUACGGCCUGCAUGGGUUGUGGUGGAAAGCUUUUGCGGUGUGGGAUGGGCCCGCGGCCUAUCAGCUUGUUGGUGGGGUGAUGGCCUACCAAGGCGACGACGGGUAGCCGGCCUGAGAGGGUGUCCGGCCACACUGGGACUGAGAUACGGCCCAGACUCCUACGGGAGGCAGCAGUGGGGAAUAUUGCACAAUGGGCGCAAGCCUGAUGCAGCGACGCCGCGUGGGGGAUGACGGCCUUCGGGUUGUAAACCUCUUUCACUAGGGACGAAGCGCAAGUGACGGUACCUAGAGAAGAAGCACCGGCCAACUACGUGCCAGCAGCCGCGGUAAUACGUAGGGUGCGAGCGUUGUCCGGAAUUACUGGGCGUAAAGAGCUCGUAGGUGGUUUGUCGCGUUGUUCGUGAAAACUCACAGCUUAACUGUGGGCGUGCGGGCGAUACGGGCAGACUGGAGUACUGCAGGGGAGACUGGAAUUCCUGGUGUAGCGGUGGAAUGCGCAGAUAUCAGGAGGAACACCGGUGGCGAAGGCGGGUCUCUGGGCAGUAACUGACGCUGAGGAGCGAAAGCGUGGGGAGCGAACAGGAUUAGAUACCCUGGUAGUCCACGCCGUAAACGGUGGGUACUAGGUGUGGGUUUCCUUCCUUGGGAUCCGUGCCGUAGCUAACGCAUUAAGUACCCCGCCUGGGGAGUACGGCCGCAAGGCUAAAACUCAAAGGAAUUGACGGGGGCCCGCACAAGCGGCGGAGCAUGUGGAUUAAUUCGAUGCAACGCGAAGAACCUUACCUGGGUUUGACAUGCACAGGACGCCGGCA